CUACGGGCUGCACCAGUGGGGAAUAUUGCACAAUGGAGGAAACUCUGAUGCAGCAACGCCGCGUGGAGGAUGACACUUUUCGGAGCGUAAACUCCUUUUAUAUAGGAAGAUAAUGACGGUACUAUAUGAAUAAGCACCGGCUAACUCCGUGCCAGCAGCCGCGGUAAUACGGAGGGUGCAAGCGUUACUCGGAAUCACUGGGCGUAAAGAGCGUGUAGGCGGAUAGAUAAGUCAGGAGUGAAAUCCUAUGGCUCAACCAUAGAACUGCUCUUGAAACUGUCUAUCUAGAAUAUGGGAGAGGUAGAUGGAAUUUCUGGUGUAGGGGUAAAAUCCGUAGAGAUCAGAAGGAAUACCGAUUGCGAAGGCGAUCUACUGGAACAUUAUUGACGCUGAGACGCGAAAGCGUGGGGAGCAAACAGGAUUAGAUACCCCAGUAGUC
rnacentral:rRNA from 1 species